rnacentral:rRNA from 1 species
UGGUGCGAUCAUACCAGCACUAAUGCACCGGAUCCCAUCAGAACUCCGCAGUUAAGCGUGCUUUGGCGAGAGUAGUACUAGGAUGGGUGACCUCCUGUGAAGUCCUCGUGUUGCACCAC